ensembl:snoRNA
UAGGCCUGCAUCAGUGGCUUCUGUAGCUGUCGGUUUCAAACAGGAGCCAAGAGUAAUGUCUUCCUUAUGGUCUAAUGGCUAUUCACUAUCCCAUUGAGAAUAGCUAAUUUGGUUGGAAGAAACACAG